rnacentral:rRNA from 1 species
UAGGGAAUCUUCCGCAAUGGACGAAAGUCUGACGGAGCAACGCCGCGUGAGUGAAGAAGGAUUUCGGUUCGUAAAACUCUGUUGUUAGGGAAGAAAAAAUGUAUAGUAACUAUAUACAAAAGAGACGGUACCUAACCAGAAAGCCCCGGCUAAUUACGUGCCAGCAGCCGCGGUAAUACGUAAGGGGCGAGCGUUGUCCGGAAUUAUUGGGCGUAAAGAGUGCGUAGGCGGCAAAUUAAGUCAGAUGUGAAAACUAAGGGCUCAACCCAUAGAUUGCAUCUGAAACUGAUAUGCUUGAGUCAAGGAGAGGAAAGUGGAAUUCCUAGUGUAGCGGUGAAAUGCGUAGAGAUUAGGAGGAACACCGGUGGCGAAAGCGGCUUUUUGGCCUGCAACUGACACUGAGGCGCGAAAGCGUGGGGAGCAAACAGG